CUAGUAAAAGACUGGUCACAGUUUUAGAAGAAAACCAAAGAGUGUGAUCUACAGUGCGAGCUGUGGACCCCAGAGUUCAAGGUUAGACCAGGAGCAGACGCUGCCCUCACACUUCUGAUAGCUAAAAGUGAGAAGUGGUUUUUUACCUGAAGUUAGGGGCACAGUUCAUCUUGCUACCAUGAUGGCCACCAGCCCUGCCUCCGCACAGAACUGUCAUGAAAAUAAUCAGGAACCCUGAACUUCUGAGUGUCUGAGACUUCAGCAAGCAAAAAAUCCUCCAUUUAUUUAACAUGGAAUACUAUUUAAAGCCUUCCUGAAACUAUGUGUACAUUCAUAGUGGUGAUUAAUGCAGAGAAGUGAAGAAUUCAGAACCUGACCCCAAGUUCAAGAUGAGCUGCUAGGAAAAAAAUUCAAAGGCCUUGGAACAGAAUUCCAGCAACAUCAAACCAAAGUACUGAAGCUACAUAGACUUUUUGUCUUGUCACAUUGAGUUCAAUGGUAGAAAAUAAUCUAGAGGUGCCUGGGGUAGCUCAGUCAUUUAAGUGUCCGACUCGUGGUUUUGGCUCAGGUCGUAAUCUCAGGGUGGUAGCUCUGCACUCAGUGGGGAGUCCGCUGGUGGUUCUUCUCCCUUAGUUCCUGCCCGCUGCACCUCGCCCCGUCCUCGUCCACACGGUCUCAAAAUAAAUAAAUCUUUUUUUAAAAAAGAAAAUGAUCUUGUCAGAAGGAAAAUGUGACCACAAGCAGACUUACUGGCAAUUACGCAUUUUAGUUUCAGUGACUCUAUAAAUAAGG